GCACAACACUGAGAUGAAGGCGAAGUCACCAUGAAAAGUUAAACGUUUACCGUUAAGCUACAGUAAUUGAUGUUGAAAAACUGAUGCAACCAAUCACUCCUCACUUGAUUAUUCAAGGUAAUAAAAAAAAAACAUCUGGUGUUAAAACAGCCACGGCUAUGCUAUUUGCCUACCAAGUGCUGAGUAAAUAUUAGACAAACAUUUUUUUCUAUAACUGUUUUCUUUGUGUUUAUUAGCAAUUUUACUGGGCAUAUGUGUUUGUUUUUUUUUCAAACAGCCUGGAAACUGUAAGUUUAGUUCAAUAUGUUAUUUUAUGCUAUUCAUUUUUGUCUUAACAUGGAAUGCAUGUUGAAGCUAUCGUUUUAUAGUGGGAAAAUGUAAAAGAGAAUCACUAAAUACAAUGGCAUAAUGAUUCUGCUUGUUCAAAGAAGGUACUUGAUUUAGUUUUCCUCAAGCGACACAUCAGUUUUUAUGACUAUUGCUUGACACUUGAAUUGAAGGGACAGUUCACCCAAAAUGAAAAUAAUAGCAUCUUUGGCAUCCUCCACUUGUUUCAAAAUAGUUAUAUAUUUAAUUUGUUCCGUUGAACACAAACUCGUAUUUUUUAAAGAAAUUUGGUUUAAAUAUGGAUGUCAAUAGUUACUGGUUACUAACAUUCUUCAAAAUAUCUGCUUCAGUGUUUAACAGAAAUUCAAACUAGUUUAAAACACGUGGAGUAAAUAGUGGCAA
ensembl:processed_transcript